AAUACCGCAUAAGCCUGCGGUGCCGCAUGGCACAGCAGGGAAAACCACGGUGGUACAGGAUGGGCCCGCGUCUGAUUAGUUAGUUGGCAGGGUAACGGCCUACCAAGACGAUGAUCAGUAGCCGGCUUGAGAGAGUGGACGGCCACAUUGGGACUGAGACACGGCCCAGACUCCUGCGGGAGGCAGCAGUGGGGAAUAUUGCACAAUGGGGGGAACCCUGAUGCAGCAAUGCCGCGUGGGUGAAGAAGCACUCCGGUGCGUAAAGCCCUGUCAGCAGGGAAGAAAAUGACAGUACCUGACCAAGAAGCCCCGGCUAACUACGUGCCAGCAGCCGCGGUAAUACGUAGGGGGCAAGCGUUAUCCGGAUUUACUGGGUGUAAAGGGAGCGCAGGUGGUAUGGCAAGUCAGAUGUGAAAACCCAGGGCUCAACCCUGGGACUGCAUUUGAAACUGCCAUACUGGAGUGCCGGAGAGGUAAGUGGAAUUCCUAGUGUAGCGGUGAAAUGCGUAGAUAUUAGGAGGAACACCAGUGGCGAAGGCGGCUUACUGGACGGUAACUGACGCUGAGGCUCGAAAGCGUGGGGAGCAAACAGGAUUAGAUACCCUGGUAGUCCACGCUGUAAACGAUGAAUACUAGGUGUCGGG
rnacentral:rRNA from 1 species